rnacentral:rRNA from 1 species
GUUACUGCUAUCGGAGUUCGAUUCAGCCAUGCGAGUCUAAAGGUUUCUUCGGAAACCUUGGCGGACCGCUCAGUAACACGUGGAUAACCUACCCUUGGGACUGGAAUAACCCCGGGAAACUGGGGAUAAUACCGGAUAGAUCAGGGAUGCUGGAAUGCACCUUGAUCCAAAGCUCCGGCGCCCAAGGAUGGGUCUGCGGCCUAUCAGGUAGUAGUGGGUGUAACGUACCUACUAGCAACGACGGGUACGGGUUGUGAGAGCAAGAGCCCGGAGAUGGAUUCUGAGACACGAAUCCAGGCCCUACGGGGUGCAGCAGGCGCGAAACCUUUACAAUGUGCGAAAGCAUGAUAAGGGAGCUCCGAGUGCCAGUAUCUAAUACUGGCUGUCCUUGUGCCUAAAACGCACAAGAUAGCAAGGGCCGGGUAAGACCGGUGCCAGCCGCCGCGGUAACACCGGCGGCCCGAGUGGUAGCCGCUAUUAUUGGGUCUAAAGGGUCCGUAGCCGGUUCGAUAAGUCCUCUGGGAAAUCUGGUUGCUUAACAAUCAGACUGCCAAGGGAUACUGUCGAACUUGAGACCGGGAGAGGUAAGAGGUACUUCAGGGGUAGGAGUGAAAUCCUGUAAUCCCUGGGGGACCAUCUGUGGCGAAGGCGUCUUACCAGAACGGGUCUGACGGUGAGGGACGAAAGCUGGGGGCGCAAACCGGAUUAGAUACCCGGGUAGUCCCAGCCGUAAACGAUGCUCGCUAUGCGUCAGGUACGGUGUGACCGUAUCUGGUGCCGUAGGGAAGCCGUGAAGCGAGCCACCUGGGAAGUACGGCCGCAAGGCUGAAACUUAAAGGAAUUGGCGGGGGAGCACUACAACGGGUGGAGCCUGCGGUUUAAUUGGAGUCAACGCC